AUUUUUUAAUAUGGAAAAAAAUCAAAACAAGUAAUAUUCUGAUUUGGUAUUUUUAUUGUAUUGAUCAACAUUUGUUUUUUUCCCUUUUUUAUUUGACCUAAUUAUUGAGUAUAAAAGGGGGUCCAAUUUGUUGAUAGAAGGAUAAACAAUUACACUAGAAAAUCGAGAGAAACAUUUACACUCAAACCACCAAUAACAACAUCAUC
rnacentral:lncRNA from 1 species